UUGACCUCGGAUCAGGUAGGGAUACCCGCUGAACUUAAGCAUAUCAAUAAGCGGAGGAAAAGAAACCAACAGGGAUUGCCCCAGUAACGGCGAGUGAAGCGGCAAGAGCUCAAAUUUGAAAGCUGGCCCCCUCGGGGUCCGCAUUGUAAUUUGCAGAGGAUGCUUCGGGAGUGGCCCCCAUCUAAGUGCUCUGGAACGGGCCGUC
rnacentral:rRNA from 3 species